rnacentral:ncRNA from 1 species
UUCAUAGCACGCGGGUGCCAAUAUUCAUGUCCUGUUCCAAAGGAGCGGGUGUAUCUAUUGGCUGAGAUUAUACCGCCUGAACUUGAUCGCUUUCAUGAGCGCGUAAGAAGUGCUAUUACACAAACA